rnacentral:rRNA from 1 species
GUGAGUAGUUCAGAGUUUGAUCCUGGCUCAGGAUGAACGCUAGCUACAGGCUUAACACAUGCAAGUCGAGGGGCAGCGUGAGGGUUAGCAAUAACCCUUGACGGCGACCGGCGCAAGGGUGCGUAACGCGUGAGCAACUUGCCCUUAUCGAGGGGGAUAACCGGUGGAAGCGCCGACUAAUACCCCGUGGCAUCACAAUGAGGCAUUCUUUUUUGUGAUUAAAGAAUUUCGGAUAAGGAUAGGCUCGCGUGACAUUAGCUAGACGGGCGGGGUAACCGGCCCACCGUGGCUACGAUGUCGUAGGGGUUCUGAGAGGAACGGUCCCCCACACUGGAACUGAGAAACGGUCCAG